UGCACUCACCGAUAAAGAGUUGAGUGGCGAACGGGUGAGUAACACGUGGGCAACCUGCCCAAAAGAGGGGGAUAACACUUGGAAACAGGUGCUAAUACCGCAUAACCAUAGUUACCGCAUGGCAACUAUGUAAAAGGUGGCUAUGCUACCGCUUUUGGAUGGGCCCGCGGCGCAUUAGCUAGUUGGUGGGGUAAAGGCUUACCAAGGCAAUGAUGCGUAGCCGAACUGAGAGGUUGAUCGGCCACAUUGGGACUGAGACACGGCCCAAACUCCUACGGGAGGCAGCAGUAGGGAAUCUUCCACAAUGGGCGAAAGCCUGAUGGAGCAACGCCGCGUGGGUGAAGAAGGUCUUCGGAUCGUAAAACCCUGUUGUUAGAGAAGAAAGUGCGUGAGAGUAACUGUUCACGUUUCGACGGUAUCUAACCAGAAAGCCACGGCUAACUACGUGCCAGCAGCCGCGGUAAUACGUAGGUGGCAAGCGUUAUCCGGAUUUAUUGGGCGUAAAGGGAACGCAGGCGGUCUUUUAAGUCUGAUGUGAAAGCCUUCGGCUUAACCGGAGUAGUGCAUUGGAAACUGGGAGACUUGAGUGCAGAAGAGGAGAGUGGAACUCCAUGUGUAGCGGUGAAAUGCGUAGAUAUAUGGAAGAACACCAGUGGCGAAAGCGGCUCUCUGGUCUGUAACUGACGCUGAGGUUCGAAAGCGUGGGUAGCAAACAGGAUUAGAUACCCUGGUAGUCCACGCCGUAAACGAUGAAUGCUAAGUGUUGGAGGGUUUCCGCCCUUCAGUGCUGCAGCUAACGCAAUAAGCAUUCCGCCUGGGGAGUACGACCGCAAGGUUGCAACUCAAAUGAAUUGACGGA
rnacentral:rRNA from 1 species